UCCAUAAUUUGGUAUUGUAACUAUUAUUAUUUAUUACAAUAUUUGUCAUAUUAUUUAUUGUAAUUAUUCCAAAAACAUAUUAUUAAUAAUCAUAACAAAUAAUAAUAAAAUGAUAAUAGUAAUGGUAAAAUUAAUAGAAUUACUAGUAAUAAACAUGACGAUAAACACAACAAUAAUAAUAUAUGAUGAAAAAAGAAAAAAAUAACAAUAAUCAAAAUCAUCAUCAUCAUAUUUGCAAGGUGAAGCUGCUUCCUCCAUGUGAGAUCGACAGCAGAUAGCUAUUUCCAUCGAGAUCGGCUGGCAACGCAUCGGUAGCUGCUGUUUCUGGCAAUGGCAGGUGCUGCUGUUGCCAUGUUGGGUGCUGCUGGUUCGACGAAUUAGGGAGCUGAUGCUUUGAUGUGCUAACAAUGGCAAGUGCUGCUACUCAAUGCCGGAUUGAUGGCCGGGCAUCAGCAGCUGCACGAUCGGCGAUGGCAGGUGCUAUGGUGCUGGUUUGGAUCUAUGUUGCUGCAUGUUUCCGUGGCGUCUCGGUUUUUGUUUUUAUUUGUUAUUUUAUAAUUUCAUGGAUUAACAAGGACAAAGUGGAAAUUUAAAAAUUUGAAUCCAAGUAUUUUUGUCAAUGAAUGGGGUUCUGAUGCCUAGUCUCCUUCUCUUUGGAAUCGGAAUUUUAGUAAUGAUUUCUGAAAAUUGUAGGCUCCACCGAAAUUUCAUUCCAAUUUUAAGUUUUUAUUUUGCAAGUAAACGAUUUAUUCAUUUCGAUUUUAGAAAUCUCAUUCUUAUUAUUUGUACGUAAAGGUUCCCUUAAUAAAAUGGACAACAAAAUUAUUGACAAGUAGAUUGUCCUAAU
rnacentral:lncRNA from 1 species